rnacentral:rRNA from 1 species
AUUGAACGCUGGCGGCAGGCCUAACACAUGCAAGUCGAGCGGAUGAAGGGAGCUUGCUCCUGGAUUCAGCGGCGGACGGGUGAGUAAUGCCUAGGAAUCUGCCUGGUAGUGGGGGAUAACGUCCGGAAACGGGCGCUAAUACCGCAUACGUCCUGAGUGAGAAAGUGGGGGAUCUUCGGACCUCACGCUAUCAGAUGAGCCUAGGUCGGAUUAGCUAGUUGGUGGGGUAAAGGCCUACCAAGGCGACGAUCCGUAACUGGUCUGAGAGGAUGAUCAGUCACACUGGAACUGAGACACGGUCCAGACUCCUACGGGAGGCAGCAGUGGGGAAUAUUGGACAAAGGGCGAAAGCCUGAUCCAGCCAUGCCGCGUGUGUGAAGAAGGUCUUCGGAUUGUAAAGCACUUUAAGUUGGGAGGAAGGGCAGUAAGUUAAUACCUUGAUGUUUUGACGUUACCAACAGAAUAAGCACCGGCUAACUUCGUG